CAGUCGCCGCGGGAAUACAGAGGGUGCGAGCGUUAAUCGGAUUUACUGGGCGUAAAGCGUGCGUAGGCGGCUUCUUAAGUCGGAUGUGAAAUCCCUGAGCUUAACUUAGGAAUUGCAUUCGAUACUGGGAAGCUAGAGUAUGGGAGAGGAUGGUAGAAUUCCAGGUGUAGCGGUGAAAUGCGUAGAGAUCUGGAGGAAUACCGAUGGCGAAGGCAGCCAUCUGGCCUAAUACUGACGCUGAGGUACGAAAGCAUGGGGAGCAAACAGGAUUAGAUACCCGAGUAGUCCCUGUCUCUAUACA
rnacentral:rRNA from 1 species